GAUGAACGCUGGCGGCGUGCCUAAUACAUGCAAGUCGAGCGGAGCGGGGACGGGUGAGUAACACGUGGAUAACCUCCUAUAAGGCUGGGAUAACUUCGGGAAACCGGAGCUAACCCGGAUACUUAUCGAUGGAUCCGCGCUGCAUUAGCUAGUUGGUAAGGUAACGGCUUACCAAGGCAACGAUGCAUAGCCGACCUGAGAGGAUGAUCGGCCACACUGGAACUGAGACACGGCCCAGACUCCUACGGGAGGCAGCAGUAGGGAAUAUUCCGCAAUGGGCGAAAGCCUGACGGAGCAACGCCGCGUGAGUGAUGAAGGCCUUCGGGUUGUAAAACACUGUUAGUAGGGAAGCGGUACCUAAUCAGAAAGCCACGGCUAACUCCGUGCCAGCAGCCGCGGUAAUAC
rnacentral:rRNA from 1 species